CCCUUAGAUGUUCUGGGCCGCACGCGCGCUACACUGAUGCAUUCAACAAGCCUAGCCUUGACCGAGAGGUCCGGGUAAUCUUUGAAACUGCAUCGUGAUGGGGCUAGAUUAUUGCAAUUAUUAAUCUUCAACGAGGAAUGCCUAGUAAGCGUGAUUCAUCAAAUCGCGUUGAUUACGUCCCUGCCCUUUGUACACACCGCCCGUCGUUCCUACCGAUUGAAUGUGUUGGUGAGGAGCUCGGAUUGGCAGCAGUUGGUGGUUCGCCACCGGCUAUUGCUGAGAAGUCCUCCAAACCGCCCCAUUUAGAGGAAGGAGAAGUCGUAACA
rnacentral:rRNA from 1 species